rnacentral:tRNA from 1 species
GCUCCUGUAGUCUAGCCCGGUUCAGGACGAUGGCCUCUCGCGCCGUCAACCCGAGUUCAAAUCUCGGCGGGAGCA